rnacentral:rRNA from 1 species
GACGAACGCUGGCGGCGCGCCUAACACAUGCAAGUCGAACGGAGCUUGCUUGUCAGAUCCUUUCGGGGUGACGACUUGUAAGCUUAGUGGCGAACGGGUGAGUAACACGUGAGUAACCUGCCCCAGAGUGGGGGACAACAGUUGGAAACGACUGCUAAUACCGCAUAAGCCCACGGAACCGCAUGGUUCUGGGGGAAAAGGAGCAAUUCGCUCUGGGAUGGACUCGCGUCCGAUUAGCUGGAUGGUGAGGUAACGGCCCACCAUGGCGACGAUCGGUAGCCGGACUGAGAGGUUGAUCGGCCACAUUGGGACUGAGACACGGCCCAGACUCCUACGGGAGGCAGCAGUGGGGAAUAUUGCACAAUGGGGGAAACCCUGAUGCAGCGACGCCGCGUGGAGGAAGAAGGCCUUCGGGUCGUAAACUCCUGUCGUAAGGGACGAUAGUGACGGUACCUUACAAGAAAGCCACGGCUAACUACGUGCCAGCAGCCGCGGUAAAACGUAGGUGGCAAGCGUUGUCCGGAAUUACUGGGUGUAAAGGGAGCGCAGGCGGGUCUGCAAGUUGGAAGUGAAACCCAUGGGCUCAACCCAUGAACUGCUUUCAAAACUGCGGAUCUUGAGUGGCGUAGAGGUAGGCGGAAUUCCCGGUGUAGCGGUGGAAUGCGUAGAUAUCGGGAGGAACACCAGUGGCGAAGGCGGCCUACUGGGCACUAACUGACGCUGAGGCUCGAAAGCAUGGGUAGCAAACAGG